rnacentral:tRNA from 1 species
GCCUGGGUGGCUUAGUUGGUUAAGCAUCUGACUUAGGCUCAGGUCAUGAUCUCAAGGUUUGUGGGUUCAAGCCCCACAUUGGGCU